rnacentral:lncRNA from 1 species
CAUGGCAGCGCGCAGAGCAGCUGUAGAGCAGCGGCGUGUUCGUGUGGUGGACGUUUUUUUUUUUCUGUUACACCGCAGCCGUCGCCGCUGCAUAGCGUAAUGGACGGUGCAGCAAAGUCCGGAGGUUACAGAAUUCAUUUGAAGAGCACACGAUGCUUACAUUUUGGCAGAAUAGCGAGCGGUAAGGCGGAUGCAACCGGGAUGCAGCGUUGAUCCAGGGGAAUCGAAAUUGUUUCGGCGUCGGCAUGUUUUCUUAAAGCAUUGCAGAGAUGAUCUGAAGUGUUUUAGCACGAAUGCUCAGCUUCAACAGCAGCAUCUUUCAACUGAGUGCUGGCAUUGAGUGCUUCACUUCAGAUGAAAAAC